GGCGGCUCGAGUGGUAACCGUUAUUAUUGGGUCUAAAGGGUCUGUAGCCGGCCGGAUAAGUCUCUUGGGAAAUCUGGCAGCUUAACUGUCAGGCUUUCAGGAGAUACUGUCUGGCUCGAGGCCGGGAGAGGUGAGAGGUACUUCAGGGGUAGGGGUGAAAUCUUGUAAUCCUUGAAGGACCACCAGUGGCGAAGGCGUCUCACCAGAACGGACCUGACGGCAAGGGACGAAAGCUAGGGGCACGAACC
rnacentral:rRNA from 1 species